rnacentral:rRNA from 1 species
AUACGGAGGUUGCAAGCGUUAAUCGGAAUUACUGGGCGUAAAGCGCGCGUAGGCGGUUUAGUCAGUCAGAUGUGAAAGCCCCGGGCUCAACCUGGGAACUGCAUUUGAUACUGCUGAACUAGAGUAUGGUAGAGGGAAGUGGGAUUCCGGGUGUAGCGGUGAAAUGCGUAGAUAUCCGGAGGAACACCAGUGGCGAAGGCGACUUCCUGGACCAAUACUGACGCUGAGGUGCGAAAGCGUGGGUAGCAAACAGGAUUAGAAACCCCAGUAGUCC